rnacentral:ncRNA from 1 species
GAAUUUGGUGCAAUUAAUUGCCUAACAAGGAAUCCGGUGCAAUUCCGGAGCUGUAUCUGCAGCUGUAAGUAUGUUAAUUUUAUCUAUUUACCACUGAAAUCAUUUGGGAAGGUUGAUAAAUUAGUACAAGCCAGAAUACUUGCCACUUUCAU